rnacentral:rRNA from 1 species
CGAACGCUGGCGGCAUGCCUAACACAUGCAAGUCGACCGAGACCUUCGGGUCUCGUGGCGCACGGGUGCGUACCGCGUGGGAACCUGCCCUUAGGUUCGGAAUAACUCCCCGAAAGGGGUGCUAAUACCGGAUAAUGUCUUCGGACCAAAGAUUUAUCGCCUUUGGAUGGGCCCGCGUUGGAUUAGCUAGUUGGUAGGGUAAAAGCCUACCAAGGCGACGAUCCAUAGCUGGUCUGAGAGGAUGAUCAGCCACACUGGGACUGAGACACGGCCCAGACUCCUAAGGGAAGCAGCAGUGGGGAAUAAUGGAAAAUGGGCGAAAGGCUGAUCCAGCAAUGCCGCGUGAGUGAAGAAGGCCUUAGGGUUGUAAAGCUCUUUUACCCGGGAUGAUAAUGACAGUACCGGGAGAAUAAGCUCCGGCUAACUCCGUG